rnacentral:rRNA from 1 species
AGUAAUGCUUAGGAAUCUGCCUAUUAGUGGGGGACAACAUCUCGAAAGGGAUGCUAAUACCGCAUACGUCCUACGGGAGAAAGCAGGGGACCUUCGGGCCUUGCGCUAAUAGAUGAGCCUAAGUCGGAUUAGCUAGUUGGUGGGGUAAAGGCCUACCAAGGCGACGAUCUGUAGCGGGUCUGAGAGGAUGAUCCGCCACACUGGGACUGAGACACGGCCCAGACUCCUACGGGAGGCAGCAGUGGGGAAUAUUGGACAAUGGGGGGAACCCUGAUCCAGCCAUGCCGCGUGUGUGAAGAAGGCCUUUUGGUUGUAAAGCACUUUAAGCGAGGAGGAGGCUACUGGUAUUAAUACUACCGGAUAGUGGACGUUACUCGCAGAAUAAGCACCGGCUAACUCUGUGCCAGCAGCCGCGGUAAUACAGAGGGUGCGAGCGUUAAUCGGAUUUACUGGGCGUAAAGCGUGCGUAGGCGGCUUUUUAAGUCGGAUGUGAAAUCCCUGAGCUUAACUUAGGAAUUGCAUUCGAUACUGGGAGGCUAGAGUAUGGGAGAGGAUGGUAGAAUUCCAGGUGUAGCGGUGAAAUGCGUAGAGAUCUGGAGGAAUACCGAUGGCGAAGGCAGCCAUCUGGCCUAAUACUGACGCUGAGGUACGAAAGCAUGGGGAGCAAACAGGAUUAGAUACCCUGGUAGUCCAUGCCGUAAACGAUGUCUACUAGCCGUUGGGGCCUUUGAGGCUUUAGUGGCGCAGCUAACGCGAUAAGUAGACCGCCUGGGGAGUACGGUCGCAAGACUAAAACUCAAAUGAAUUGACGGGGGCCCGCACAAGCGGUGGAGCAUGUGGUUUAAUUCGAUGCAACGCGAAGAACCUUACCUGGUCUUGACAUACAGAGAACUUUCCAGAGAUGGAUUGGUGCCUUCGGGAACUCUGAUACAGGUGCUGCAUGGCUGUCGUCAGCUCGUGU